rnacentral:lncRNA from 1 species
GAAAGAUAAUCCUAGAUGCUUAUUACAAAGAACACCUACAAUUCAAUAUGGAUGAUAGGAUAUGGUUAUUUUGUCAUAAUAUCAAGACUAUUCACCUUUGUGACAAGUUGAACUAUCAUAAGUUUAGACCUUUUCUUAUUUGUAAAUAAAUUAAUCCAAUUGCUUAUUCAUUAUACCAACUAGAGUCAAUGAAGAUCCAUUCUAUAUUUCACAUGUCUCUUCUUGAACCAUACAAGAUAAUGAAUAUACCAAGAAGAAAAUAGAUGCCACCUC